UUGAGGAAUUGUUGAGAGUCCUUGAAGCCCACAGCUUGGAUCACUUUCUUCUGAAAGACCCCCGGAGUAGGGAGACCCUCACUCAAGUCUCGGGAUGACGCGACCCCCCAAGAACUCAUGAGACA
rnacentral:pre_miRNA from 14 species